AUUGAUGAACUAUAUGCUGCACUUGCUUGACUUUUGAUAAAUCAGAAUCUCCUCAGCUGGUGCACAGACUUGACAGAGACUGUAGUGGACUUUUGGUGUUGGGAAGAACACAAACGGCUGCAACGCCUUUUCAUUGUAUAUUCCUCGAGAAAACAACUGGUUAGUGUCGCAUAUGUAAAACCUCUCCAGCAUGCUAUCACUGAAUACCGAGUGAUUGAAUUUUCACCACUUGGUAUGCUUCAUCGUCCCUCAAUGAACAGGGACUACAUAGAGUGAUGGCUUGUCAUAGGUGAAGAACCUGUGAUGGCUCAAUGAACAGGGACUACACCGUCCUCUUUCCUUUGGUGUCUCAAGGAGUCUUGGUAUCUUCUCUCAGUUUCUGUUGCAGUGAAUUCAAGUCCCAUCUCAGAAUUAUAGUUGGAGCAAUCAAAUUUCUUUUCAAUUUCCUAGUUCACAGAAAUGCGAAAUGAUGGUUAUUAGAAGUAUCAGAGUCAAAAUUCCUCUGGAAAUCAGCACAGAAGAAAGUCGUAGAAUCAUUACAGAUUCUGUCAAGAGAUUGAAUUUAUAACUUAGCUCUUGAGGAGGUACGAGAGUGGAAUCAGUGAUAUGGUACUAUUGCCUUAGUAAGAACGUUUCCUGACCUUUGUGGCAAAUGCUUGCCACUGUUUCUUCUGGAGAAGCUCUUGCCGUACGAAGUUGGAAGACGUAGAGUGUCCCUGUUCAAGCUGCAUAUGGCUAGAGGUGGAGGUAUAGUAUGAAUCUUUUGAGACUGUUCUGUUUGAAAACUUCAAGUGGAAGACAGUCCGUAUGAUCCAGAGCAGAUGGUUUGCAUGAAUUACGGAGAGUAUGCGAACCAGAAAGUUAGGAGCUUAGAAGCUGAGUAUCAACGUUUCUGUACGCCAUGCCUAUGACAAAGACAAAAGUGUUAUUUGAGGAGACAUGUCUACCCUCAAAAGAUGUCAUCAUGCCCAUUGAUUUGCUAAAAACGAAGCUCAUGUUAAGAGUCGGUGGUUCCUUGCCAAAAGAAUCUCGCCUUUGGUGCUGCAGCUAGCAUGGUACAUCCAUCCCACAACAGGCUAUUCAGUUGUGAGAUCUUUGUCUAAAACUCCAUAAUACGCAUAUCAGUCAUCGCGGGUAUACU